GCGGAGGUGCAAAAUUCUAUAAGUCAGGGCAAGGACGGGAAUCAAUUAAGAAAAGGAUUGACUUAGAAUACAAGUAGUGAGCGGAAGUGGGUUCAUAUUCGCCAGGGCGAACGCAGGUUCGAGUCCUGCCCUCCGCA
rnacentral:tRNA from 1 species